UAAGGAAUAUUGGUCAAUGGACGAAAGUCUGAACCAGCCAUGCCGCGUGGAGGAUGAAGGUCCUCUGGAUUGUAAACUUCUUUUAUCUGGGACGAAAAAAGGUCUUUCUAGAUCGUCUGACGGUACCAGAUGAAUAAGCACCGGCUAACUCCGUGCCAGCAGCCGCGGUAACACGGAGGGUGCAAGCGUUAUCCGGAUUCACUGGGUUUAAAGGGUGCGUAGGUGGGUUGGUAAGUCAGUGGUGAAAUCUUCGAGCUUAACUCGGAAACUGCUAUUGAUACUAUCAGUCUUGAAUAUUGUGGAGGUUAGCGGAAUAUGUCAUGUAGCGGUGAAAUGCUUAGAUAUGACAUAGAACACCAAUUGCGAAGGCAGCUGGCUACACAUAUAUUGACACUGAGGCACGAAAGCGUGGGGAUCAAACA
rnacentral:rRNA from 1 species